rnacentral:rRNA from 1 species
UUGAACGCUGGCGGCAGGCCUAACACAUGCAAGUCGAACGGUAACAGGAAGCAGCUUGCUGUUUUGCUGACGAGUGGCGGACGGGUGAGUAAUGUCUGGGAAACUGCCUGAUGGAGGGGGAUAACUACUGGAAACGGUAGCUAAUACCGCAUAACGUCGCAAGACCAAAGAGGGGGACCUUAGGGCCUCUUGCCAUCGGAUGUGCCCAGAUGGGAUUAGCUAGUAGGUGGGGUAACGGCUCACCUAGGCGACGAUCCCUAGCUGGUCUGAGAGGAUGACCAGCCACACUGGAACUGAGACACGGUCCAGACUCCUACGGGAGGCAGCAGUGGGGAAUAUUGCACAAUGGGCGCAAGCCUGAUGCAGCCAUGCCGCGUGUAUGAAGAAGGCCUUCGGGUUGUAAAGUACUUUCAGCGGGGAGGAAGGGAGUAAAGUUAAUACCUUUGCUCAUUGACGUUACCCGCAGAAGAAGCACCGGCUAACUCCGUGCCAGCAGCCGCGGUAAUACGGAGGGUGCAAGCGUUAAUCGGAAUUACUGGGCGUAAAGCGCACGCAGGCGGUUUGUUAAGUCAGAUGUGAAAUCCCCGGGCUCAACCUGGGAACUGCAUCUGAUACUGGCAAGCUUGAGUCUCGUAGAGGGGGGUAGAAUUCCAGGUGUAGCGGUGAAAUGCGUAGAGAUCUGGAGGAAUACCGGUGGCGAAGGCGGCCCCCUGGACGAAGACUGACGCUCAGGUGCGAAAGCGUGGGGAGCAAACAGGAUUAGAUACCCUGGUAGUCCACGCCGUAAACGAUGUCGACUUGGAGGUUGUGCCCUUGAGGCGUGGCUUCCGGAGCUAACGCGUUAAGUCGACCGCCUGGGGAGUACGGCCGCAAGGUUAAAACUCAAAUGAAUUGACGGGGGCCCGCACAAGCGGUGGAGCAUGUGGUUUAAUUCGAUGCAACGCGAAGAACCUUACCUGGUCUUGACAUCCACGGAAGUUUUCAGAGAUGAGAAUGUGCCUUCGGGAACCGUGAGACAGGUGCUGCAUGGCUGUCGUCAGCUCGUGUUGUGAAAUGUUGGGUUAAGUCCCGCAACGAGCGCAACCCCUAUCUUCAGUAGCCAGCAGGUGAAGCUGGGCACUCUGGAGAGACUGCCAGGGAUAACCUGGAGGAAGGUGGGGACGACGUCAAAUCAUCAUGCCCCUUAUGGGCUGGGCUACACACGUGCUACAAUGGCGCAUACAAAGAGAAGCGACCUCGCGAGAGCAAGCGGACCUCAUAAAGUGCGUCGUAGUCCGGAUUGGAGUCUGCAACUCGACUCCAUGAAGUCGGAAUCGCUAGUAAUCGUGGAUCAGAAUGCCACGGUGAAUACGUUCCCGGGCCUUGUACACACCGCCCGUCACACCAUGGGAGUGGGUUGCAAAAGAAGUAGGUAGCUUAACCUUCGGGAGGGCGCUUACCACUUUGUGAUUCAUGACUGGGGUG